rnacentral:lncRNA from 1 species
GGUUUGCAUUAAGGUUUUUUGUUGUCAACCAUGUGUCAGUCAUUUGAAUAAACAUAUUCAACACAAACACCAACAUAAAUAUAACAUGUUAGUUGGUUUAUAUGGUGGAAAUGGUCUGGUAUGAUAGCAAACAUAUAAAAAAAUUGACCUACAUGAACAGUUUACACCCCUAAUAUGACCCAAUUUGAAUUAUCCGCCAUUGAUUUAAAAUAUGUUUACCCAGAGAUAUUUUUCUUUAAUGAUUAGCUAAAUACCUAAUCUUUAAGUGUAGUGAGUCAUGUGUUGGCUAUAUUUCUGCAAAAAAAAACAUUUUAGGGACCAAAUUUGGUCGAAUUUGACUCUUUUUGCUUAAGAUCCACAGUACCUAAAAUAGCUAUUAGCUCUGACAUUCUAUACUGUAUUUCACCGUAUAUGAUUUACUUUAAUAAAUAUAUCUUUAUAAGGC